CAAUCUCAUUGCGUAUUUUCAUCUGUGCUUUUUGUGCUAACAGUAAAUACCAUUGAGAUUGCA
rnacentral:pre_miRNA from 1 species